ensembl:lncRNA
CCGGAUCUCCAAGCCUCACAGUGGAGAGGAGACCCCAGCAAGUUCGAGGGCAGCCAGGAUAUUUUGCUGUUUGCCUCGAGAGAGCUCACUGGCCAGGUGUGUGGGAACACAGUCGGUGCAGGCUCAGGAAACCCCAGAGAGGCCUCUGGCCCUUUGACCAAAGGAACAGAAAGAGCUUCCCAGUCGACGUGGCCGAUGAGGGGUCAACCCAUUCACCUCUCCAAGGGAGGCGUCGGAUCACCAACCCCCUGCCCGUGAGGCCCAGUGCAGGCUCCAGCUGCACCAGGAAGCUUGGGGUACCUCUCCUGUUUCAACGAGGACCUCAGGGACCCACUCGUGUGGCCGCAGGAAAUUCCAGUCUCCAUUCGAGUUGCAAGUGGACUCUAGGAACUCCUCUCCAGUCGGUGUCGGGUCCUACGUCCUCAUCUGGAGCUGAAGCCGGAACCUCAAGAUUCCUCUCCAGUGCUGACAGUGUUCUCGGUGUUCCUAUGGAGCUUCAACAGUGGAGUCAGGCCUCGUUUCGUGUGGAGACAUGUCCUCAUCUGGAGCUGAAAACGCAACCUCAGAUUACUUCUCCAGUGCUGACAUGGAUCUCGGUGUUUCUAUGGAGAUUCCACAGGGCAAUCAGGCCUCUUCUCGUAUGGAGACAUGCAAGUCCGCUUUCCUUCCGAGCUGUAACAGCCGAGUCGCACUUCCUGUCGAGUUGACAUAGGGAUCUGUGGUUUUCUCUCGAGGUGUCACAGGGCUGUCACACAUGACAUCAUGUUUUGAGUCAAUACCCGAGGUGACAUUCGAGUCAGUCCAGGGAAAUCAGGUGUAUCUGGAAUGGACUGGGAUAACGAGGUCUUUUUGAAUUGUGGCACGACCCCUGGAGUUCUUGUCGGCUUCCAAGUUGAGAGCGCCUCCACUUGAGAUGUGAUGGGAACACCGGAUUUCCAUUCCCGACGUAACAGGGAAAAGGACCCUCAUCUCGAGAUGAGGAGGGAAAAAAGGGGCUCUUCUUGAGUUGUGGCGGAACCCUCAGUGUUCCACUGGAGUGGAAAUGGGUUUGUCGUGGAAUUUCGACUUGCAUCAAGGGUGUCAAGGACCCUUUCAAGGCUCAAGAGAGAAGGCGGGAUUUCUCUCGAGACACCACAACAGAAAAGGGUCUCAUCUCGUGUUGAGGUGAGAAUCUCCUGGUUAUUCUCGAGUUGCAGCAGGAAAAUUG